UGGUUAAGUGACUAAGCGUACACGGUGGAUGCCUUGGCAGUCAGAGGCGAUGAAAGACGUAGUAACUUGCGAUAAGCCCAGAUUAGGUAGUAACAACCAUUUGAGUCUGGGAUUUCUGAAUGGGGAAACCCACGUGCAUAAGCACGUAUCGUUAUGUGAAUACAUAGCAUAACGAGGCGAACCGGGGGAACUGAAACAUCUAAGUACCCCGAGGAAAAGAAAUCAACCGAGAUUCCGAAAGUAGCGGCGAGCGAAAUUGGACUAGCCCUUAAGCUUUACACGCGUUAGACGAACGGUCUGGAAAGUCCGACGAUACAGGGUGAUAGUCCCGUAGUUGACGACGUGUGUUCAGUGAAAUCGAGUAGGGCGGGACACGUGAUAUCCUGUCUGAAUAUGGGGGGACCAUCCUCCAAGGCUAAAUACUACUGACUGACCGAUAGUGAACCAGUACCGUGAGGGAAAGGCGAAAAGAACCCCUGUGAGGGGAGUGAAAUAGAACCUGAAACCGUGUACGUACAAGCAGUAGGAGCAGGCUUUGUCCUGUGACUGCGUACCUUUUGUAUAAUGGGUCAGCGACUUAUAUUCAGUGGCAAGGUUAACCAUCUAGGGGAGCCGUAGGGAAACCGAGUCUUAACUGGGCGUUCAGUCUCUGGAUAUAGACCCGAAACCAGGUGAUCUAGCCAUGGGCAGGUUGAAGGUUGAGUAACAUCAACUGGAGGACCGAACCGACUAAUGUUGAAAAAUUAGCGGAUGACUUGUGGCUAGGGGUGAAAGGCCAAUCAAACCUGGAGAUAGCUGGUUCUCCCCGAAAGCUAUUUAGGUAGCGCCUCGGACGAAUACUACUGGGGGUAGAGCACUGUUAAGGCUAGGGGGUCAUCCCGACUUACCAACCCUUUGCAAACUCCGAAUACCAGUAAGUACUAUCCGGGAGACACACGGCGGGUGCUAACGUCCGUCGUGGAGAGGGAAACAACCCAGACCGCCAGCUAAGGUCCCAAAUUACUACUAAGUGGGAAACGAUGUGGGAAGGCUCAGACAGCCAGGAUGUUGGCUUAGAAGCAGCCAUCAUUUAAAGAAAGCGUAAUAGCUCACUGGUCGAGUCGGCCUGCGCGGAAGAUGUAACGGGGCUAAGUAGUAAACCGAAGCUGCGGCAAUAUACUUUUGUAUAUUGGGUAGGGGAGCGUUCUGUAAGCGGUUGAAGGUGUGUGGUAACGCAUGCUGGACGUAUCAGAAGUGCGAAUGCUGACAUGAGUAACGAUAAAGGGGGUGAAAAACCUCCUCGCCGGAAGACCAAGGGUUCCUGUCCAACGUUAAUCGGGGCAGGGUAAGUCGACCCCUAAGGCGAGGCCGAAAGGCGUAGUCGAUGGGAAACGGGUUAAUAUUCCCGUACUUCUUACAAUUGCGAUGGGGGGACGGAGAAGGCUAGGUGGGCCUGGCGACGGUUGUC
rnacentral:rRNA from 1 species